AGUGCUGGGCCGGGUCUGGCCGUCCUGCUUUUCUCAAGGGAAGUGGUGAAGGUCCUGGGUCGUGACAUGCCCGGGGAGCCUCGGCAGGGCAGCUCCAGGCGGGAGGUGUCCUUGGUCACAGCAGCUUCUGUGACCAAAUACUCUGGAGCAGCCCAAGAGCUGGAUGGGAGAGUGAACCCUGAGAAAAGGACCUGGGACAGAACAAGCAUCUAAGUCAUUGGAGGAGCUGUGGGCAGAAAUGGAGAGCUGGUGGCAGAGUGUCCUAAGAGAUGUAUUUGGGAUAAGUAGUUGCUAUGGUUGGUCUGAAGCUGGCCGGUGUGGCCAUAGACGAAUUCCAUGAGCAUAGAGAAAGAAAAAGGGAAGCCAAGGCCUCAAAGGCCCAGGAAUCUUUGAUGAAGGAGGACUUCCAGGAGCUCAUCCAACAAGUGAAAGCUAUGCGUGAAGAUCUCUAGAAAGGGCAGGAAUCCAACAGGAAAACGAAGAAAAUGGCGAAGGCCCAGAAAUCCAAGAUGGACAAGGAAUUCCACCAGCUCCGCCAAAGAAUUCAAACUCUGGAACAAGAACUACACGAUAGGCAGGGGUCCAAACAGCACAUCCUUCAGCUCUUCAGAGCAGAAAUGGAGAUGGAACAUGGUGUGCCGAUAGAAAGUGCAUCAGAAGACGAGGGCACUGACACAGAUGCAUAGACAUCUCCUGAGCAGGUGAAGCAUUGAUCAACAAAAUUAAAGUCUGGCUCUCAUUACAUUUCUCUUGAGCUUGGCCCCCCACCCCCUGCACUCCCUGGGCUCUCUGUGUCGGGAAGUGCUCGUGCUGCUGGAAGACUGAGACAAUUUUAAGGCUUUUCUCCCUCCUGUGAGCUGGUUCCUGCUGUGCCAGGGCAGAUCCAUCCACUGCCCAGUUUCAACAAGUGAAGGCAACAGCAGCCAAAGUGCAACUGAAUUACCCAGCGAGCUCUACACAAAGUCUCAGGGCAGAGUCCUGGAAAUCGUGGAUUUUAAGUGAAUGAGCCUUUCCAGCAGCAGCAGCACAGCUGGGCCCUGGGUUCAGAACCAGAGCCUCGAUCCCACUGUGGUUUCUGCACUCCAGCAGAGCUCUGCCCUUCCUGUGUGCCAGGAAUUUGGAGGCUGCUGCUGUUCUUUCCAAAUGUGUUGAUGUUGAUGAAGUCCUCCAGGACAGGGGAGGGAUGAUGAGCUUCUCCAGCUGUUCUUCACACAGACAGUCCAUGGGUGAGGGUCAAUGAGAUGGCUGGAAUGGAGCUUGAGGCCGGAAUACUUUUAACGCAGCUCAGACAGGAAACCAAGGCCAAGCCUGAGCUGACAUGGAAGUUCUGGAAUGUAGAUGGAGCUCCUGAAGCCCAACUGGAGUUUCAGGGUAUCUGGAUGGAGCUGAGCUCCCAGUUGCCCUGUGAGGGUGAGUAACGGGGUGGCCGACAGCACAAUCUACUGGGUGCAAGAGCUGAGAGCAUCAAAAGAGGGAAAAUUGUUCCCACUCUUUUUUUUGUUGUUGUUUCAAGUGAGGGAAAUAGUUCAAAAUUGCCUUUGGAUAACACCUGAA